rnacentral:rRNA from 1 species
AGGAUGAACGCUGGCGGCGUGCCUAAUACAUGCAAGUCGAGCGGUAAGGCCCCUUCGGGGGUACACGAGCGGCGGACGGCUGAGUAACACGUAGGAACGUACCCCAAAGUGAGGGAUAAGCACCAGAAAUGGUGUCUAAUACCGCAUGUGCUCUUCGGAGGAAAGCUUCGGCGCUUUGGGAACGGCCUGCGCAUGAUUAGCUUGUUGGUGAGGUAAUGGCUCACCAAGGCGACGAUCAUUAGCUGGUCUGAGAGGAUGAUCAGCCAGACUGGGACUGAGAACGGCCCAGACUCCUACGGGAGCAGCAGUAGGGAAUUUUCCACAAUGGGCG